rnacentral:rRNA from 1 species
GAAUCAUUCACAAUGGGCGAAAGCCUGAUGGUGCGACGCCGCGUGAGGGACGAAGGCCUUCGGGUCGUAAACCUCUGUCACCGGGGAAGAAACGCUGCAUUUUAACAGAAUGCAGCCUGACUUAACCCGGAGAGGCAGCAGUGGCUAACCCUGUGCCAGCAGCCGCGGUAAUACAGAGACUGCGAGCGUUAUUCGGAUUCACUGGGCGUAAAGGGUGCGCAGGCGGCCGUGUGUGUCAGGUGUGAAAUCUCGAGGCUCAACCUCGAAAUUGCGCCUGAAACUACACGGCUAGAGUACUGGAGAGGGAAACGGGAUUCACGGUGUAGCAGUGAAAUUCGUAGAUAUCGUGAGGAACACCAGAGGCGAAGGCGGUUUCCUGGACAGUUACUGACGCUCAGGCACGAAAGCGUGGGGAGCAAACAGG